rnacentral:rRNA from 1 species
GACGAACGCUGGCGGCGUGCUUAACACAUGCAAGUCGAACGGAAAGGCCCUGCUUUUGUGGGGUGCUCGAGUGGCGAACGGGUGAGUAACACGUGAGUAACCUGCCCUUGACUUUGGGAUAACUUCAGGAAACUGGGGCUAAUACCGGAUAGGAGCUCCUGCUGCAUGGUGGGGGUUGGAAAGUUUCGGCGGUUGGGGAUGGACUCGCGGCUUAUCAGCUUGUUGGUGGGGUAGUGGCUUACCAAGGCUUUGACGGGUAGCCGGCCUGAGAGGGUGACCGGGCACAUUGGGACUGAGAGACGGCCCAGACUCCUACGGGAGGCAGCAGUGGGGAAUAUUGCACAAUGGGCGGAAGCCUGAUGCAGCAACGCCGCGUGCGGGAUGACGGCCUUCGGGUUGUAAACCGCUUUCGCCUGUGACGAAGCGUGAGUGACGGUAAUGGGUAAAGAAGCACCGGCUAACUACGUG